rnacentral:lncRNA from 1 species
CUGAGAAUGAAGAGAAGGGAGGGCCCAUAAGUUAAAAAACAAGGAGUUGGUAGAAAGAUUUGUGGUUAAUUGCUGACAAAUAGUACCCUAUAUAUUAUUCCACAUGCAGUUUUUGCAACUGUGUUGUAACUAAUUCUAAAAGCAAAAGCAAAAUGAAAAUUGAAAUUUAAAAAAGGUAUCUUUAUCAAACAUCAGAUAAUCCUUUUCUUGAAUGAAAGGUCUAUUACUGUGAAUGUCAACCCUGAUUUCUCCCUGUUUUUCUAUCAGACAAAAAUCCCAGUCAGUGUCAGCCUAACUGUAUGCAGUUCUCCUCCCGUUCCCUCAUGGCCAGGCCUGCUGUGCAGUACUCCAGCUGAAGUUCAGUCAUGGUCUCCUGCUGGCUGGCACUGGAGAACAGGCUACAGGCAGCAGCUGCUGGUUUGACAGCCAGUUCUGUUCAAGGAGAUGAUUCUGUGAGACUCCUUAGAAGUGCAUGAAUUCUAGACCAAAUGAAUGUGAUGAAAAUCCAAACAGGGACACAAGAACAGGUUACUGGUGAAGAAACUGGUGAAGAAAACCUCAAACCAGGAAAAGCACUGGAGUUCUAAACCACCAGAAACAGUCACAUUUACUGAGAUAUGACAGGAAAGGUACAGAAGAAAAUCUUACAGAUUUUGUUCUUGAGAGAAACAUAGGAAUUGGUCUUCUGGUCAUUUUAACUGAGUUUAAAAAUUAAUAUUUGUAAUACAGCAAUACUUCCACUUCAGCAUAUGCCAAAAUACAUGGCCCAUUCAUGCCAAAUGACUUUUUGUUCCUCCUUCCUUUCUGAUAAUGAUUUGUUAUAAGUUCAACUAACAUCAGUUCUUGCAUAUAGGUACUGUGACUAGAGUGAAGAGCAUUUGAGUAUCUUUAGUAUUGCAACUAUUAAGAAAAAAGAAAUCAAAAUCCUAAAAGACUGGCUUUAAAAUUAAAUUUAGAAAAAUACAUGAAUUUGGGGAUUGCACUUUCUCUGUGUUAUUUGACACUUGGGUGCUGGUUUCUUCAAGCUUUACUGCAUAAUGUUUUUAAACUAGCUGUAAAUGUAAAACAAGUGAAAAAAUAAAUCUGAAAUAUUCACAGAAUCCCA